rnacentral:rRNA from 1 species
AUUGAACGCUGGCGGCAUGCCUUACACAUGCAAGUCGAACGGCAGCACGGGGCAACCUGGUGGCGAGCGGCGAACGGGUGAGUAAUGCAUCGGAACGUACCUUUCAGUGGGGGAUAACGUAGCGAAAGUUACGCUAAUACCGCAUAUUCUGUGAGCAGGAAAGCAGGGGAUCGCAAGACCUUGCGCUGAUUGAGCGGCCGAUGUCAGAUUAGUUAGUUGGUGAGGUAAAGGCUCACCAAGGCGACGAUCUGUAGCGGGUCUGAGAGGAUGAUCCGCCACACUGGAACUGAGACACGGUCCAGACUCCUACGGGAGGCAGCAGUGGGGAAUUUUGGACAAUGGGGGCAACCCUGAUCCAGCCAUGCCGCGUGAGUGAAGAAGGCCUUCGGGUUGUAAAGCUCUUUCGGCCGGGAAGAAAUCGCACGGGCUAAUACCCUGUGUGGAUGACGGUACCGGAAUAAGAAGCACCGGCUAACUACGUGCCAGCCGCCGCGGUAA